GGAGAAAAGCAGGGGAUCGCAAGACCUUGCGCUCUUUGAGCGGCCGAUGCCUGAUUAGCUAGUUGGUGAGGUAAAGGCUUACCAAGGCGACGAUCAGUAGCUGGUCUGAGAGGACGACCAGCCACACUGGGACUGAGACACGGCCCAGACUCCUACGGGAGGCAGCAGUGGGGAAUUUUGGACAAUGGGGGAAACCCUGAUCCAGCCAUGCCGCGUGAGUGAAGAAGGCCUUCGGGUUGUAAAGCUCUUUCAGCCGGAACGAAACGGUCACGGCUAAUACCUGUGACCACUGACGGUACCGGAAGAAGAAGCACCGGCUAACUACGUGCCAGCAGCCGCGGUAAUACGUAGGGUGCAAGCGUUAAUCGGAAUUACUGGGCGUAAAGCGUGCGCAGGCGGUUUUGUAAGUCAGAUGUGAAAUCCCCGGGCUUAACCUGGGAACUGCGUUUGAAACUACAAGGCUAG
rnacentral:rRNA from 1 species